UAUCAACUAACGCUGCGGCGUGGGUGUCCACUCACACGAAUACUCCCGUGCUGCUUUUUCGCACUCUUUUCUCGAGCAGGAGGCUGUGCGACAAGAGAAAACAAAGGAGACGAAGAAAACAGCACCCACCAUCGGCAGAGCACAACAGUAGGCGCUCUGGCCUGUGAGAAACGCUAGCCAAGGAUGCCGGCGGGGUUUAAUGAUGCGUGCUCGGCGUUUUUCCGAAAGCACUUCGACCUCUUUGACCGCGACAAGAUUGGGCGCGCUCGAAACGAAGACUUUGCCACGUUGAUUCGUGCCUGCGGUGCUACCCCAUUAGAGGCCAGCAUCGAGGAUCUCAUAGCCAUCGCAGACCCGAGUCACCGUGGCAGCUUCAGCUUUGACGACUUCUGCGCAGCUCUGAAGAAGGCGUUUGCAGUCUCGAUAUCUCCACAAGAAGUGCGUGAGGCAUUUCAGGGCUUUGACCCGGACAAACGUGGCCUCAUCACCCCGCACGAGCUCCGUUACUUUCUUACCACCCUGGGCGACGUUCUCAGCGCCGAGGAGAUGAACGAAUUUGUGGAAGAGAUGCACUCCGAGAUGGACAUCGAGGGCAACCUGGUCGUGGCCGACAGCAUCUACAAAAUGACCCCGGAGAUGCUCCGCUAGCUUUGUUUUCGAUGCUCGAAAAAAGAAGGGAGGGUACCACUGCGUUUCUUUAGGCCGUGCUGCUGCUACCCCCUCACCCCCCACACAUCGGAGCAAGGCGGAGGAGUCUGGGGGGGGGUGCGCUUUUUCCUUUCGAUUUUGCUUCGUACUUGCGAUGUACAAAAGGAUACUGAUCUCCAGAAAGCGUAGCAAACCCCUUCCCCCACAGGAAAAUAGAACGUGAGGGAAACAUCGACAUUAUUAGGUGCGCACGAAGAGAAGGACCGCCUUUCCUCGACGUCACCUCUCAGGGGUUAGCCGCGUAGCAGGGGCUGGUGCUGCGUUAAAAGACGCGAACCGUGCGCGCCAGAAGCGCGGAGGCGUCGUCUAUUUUAUCAACAUUCCUUACUCCCUCUCCCCCUGUACAGGCUAACCAAUGAGGCGCGCGCGUGAGCGUGAGAGUGUGCUUAGGGGACGUUUCUCUCAGCAGCACAGACUUGAACCGUUCAAGUGGGAAGAGGUGCGCUCUUCCGGUGCCAAGAGCGUUCCUUUCGUAUGCUUGGUCUCGAAUUACGUGUCUGUGGGCGUCAUUGCGCUAUGCUUUCACGCAAGAUCUUCUCAUUCACGCAACCACUCUCCUCGCACUCGCGCCCUUCUUCUCCGUUCCGUCCAUCUUUGUUUCGUCGUUCCGCCACCUUUGGCACUUGCCCGUCGUCUGUUUCUUCUCCAUUUUGAG
rnacentral:misc_RNA from 1 species